rnacentral:rRNA from 1 species
AGAGUUUGAUCCUGGCUCAGGACGAACGCUGGCGGCGUGCCUAACACAUGCAAGUCGAGCGAAGAGGAAGGAGCUUACUCCUGAAUCUUAGCGGCGGACGGGUGAGUAACGCGUGAGCAACCUGCCUUUUACUGGGGGAUAACGCAUCGAAAGAUGUGCUAAUACCGCGUAAGACCACAGCAUCGCAUGGUGCAGGGGUCAAAGGAGCAAUCCGGUAGAAGAUGGGCUCGCGUCCGAUUAGCUAGUUGGUGAGAUAACAGCCCACCAAGGCGACGAUCGGUAGCCGACCUGAGAGGGUGAUCGGCCACAUUGGAACUGAGACACGGUCCAGACUCCUACGGGAGGCAGCAGUGGGGAAUAUUGGGCAAUGGGCGAAAGCCUGACCCAGCAACGCCGCGUGAGGGAAGAAGGUUUUCGGAUUGUAAACCUCUGUCAUCAGGGACGAAAAUGACGGUACCUGAGAAGGAAGCUCCGGCUAACUACGUGCCAGCAGCCGCGGUAAUACGUAGGGAGCAAGCGUUAUCCGGAAUUACUGGGUGUAAAGGGAGUGUAGGCGGGACUGUAAGUCAGAUGUGAAAUAUGCCGGCUCAACUGGCAGACUGCAUUUGAAACUGCGGUUCUUGAGUGAAGUAGAGGUAAGCGGAAUUCCUAGUGUAGCGGUGAAAUGCGUAGAUAUUAGGAGGAACAUCAGUGGCGAAGGCGGCUUACUGGGCUUUAACUGACGCUGAGGCUCGAAAGCGUGGGGAGCAAACAGGAUUAGAUACCCUGGUAGUCCACGCUGUAAACGAUGAGUGCUAGGUGUGGGGGGACUGACCCCUUCCGUGCCGGAGCAAACGCAAUAAGUAAUCCACCUGGGGAGUACGGCCGCAAGGUUGAAACUCAAAGGAAUUGACGGGGGCCCGCACAAGCAGUGGAGUAUGUGGUUUAAUUCGAAGCAACGCGAAGAACCUUACCAGGUCUUGACAUCGAGUGAAGAACUAAGAGAUUAGUUCGCCUUCGGGCACAAAGACAGGUGGUGCAUGGUUGUCGUCAGCACGUGUCGUGAGAUGUUGGGUUAAGUCCCGCAACGAGCGCAACCCUUACCAUUAGUUGCUACGCAAGAGCACUCUAAUGGGACUGCCGUUGACAAAACGGAGGAAGGUGGGGAUGACGUCAAAUCAUCAUGCCCCUUAUGACCUGGGCUACACACGUACUACAAUGGCAAUAAAACAGAGGGAAGCAAUACAGCGAUGUAAAGCAAAACCCGAAAAAUUGUCUCAGUUCGGAUUGCAGGCUGCAACUCGCCUGCAUGAAGUCGGAAUUGCUAGUAAUCGCAGAUCAGCAUGCUGCGGUGAAUACGUUCCCGGGCCUUGCACACACGCGCCCGUCA